rfam:Triticum urartu cultivar G1812 contig1016204, whole genome shotgun sequence.
UUAGUACUCCCUCCGUCCGAAAAUACUUGUCCUCAAAAUGGAUAGAAAGAGAUGUAUCUAGAACUAAAAUAUAUUUAAAUACAUCCCCUUUUAUUCAUUUUGAUAAUGAGUAUUUCCGGACGGAGAGAGUAGGUA